GAUCUUUAUUUUUGGUUUUUAUGAAUUAAUUGGGUUAAAAAAAUUUAUAAUAAAAUAAAAAAUUUUACUGGGGUGGUAUUAAAAUUUAAAAAACUUUUAAGAGUUAAAACAUUAAUAUAUGAGUUAUUGAUCCAGUUUUAUUGAUUAAAAAAUUAAGUUACCUUAGGGAUAACAGCGUAAUUUUUUUUUAGAGUUCAUAUCGACAAAAAAGAUUGC
rnacentral:rRNA from 1 species